GGGGAUGUAGCUCAGUGGUAGAGUGCAUGCUUUGCAUGUAUGCAUGUUCAAUUCUCGGCAUCUCCA
rnacentral:tRNA from 1 species